UGAACUAGAAAGAGAUCCACUCUAAUUUCACAAGAUAAAACAAAAUAAUUUAUUAUAAUCAAAGAAGUCUGUUUCCCAAGAGAGGUUUGGAGUGGCCAGAGAUCAUGUACUUCUUAUAGUCCAAGUCAACUAAUUAAGUAAUAUUAUAUUUCUAGUAAUUUUGUGGUCUCAUACUACUAAAAGUUCACUAGUUUCCUGGUGGCUGUGGGUCACCGACUUGAACUACCGAUUCACAGUACUGCAUGCCAUUAAACAAAAAUAAAACAAAGAGAACUGGUAUACUGAAUACAAAUGGCAUAUAUGGAAAUUUUCCGACUCCAGCUUUAUUCUCAGUGACAUGCUAUGCAUCUAACGUGAUUUCUGUUGAUAAGCUGGUGUUCAAAGUUUGGUCAGAUUAUUCUACUUCACCUCUCAAUGAGAAUCAUGCAAUUUAUUUGGAAUUACAAGGAUUAUUUAGAUUUUACCCUUGUAGCUUUGGUAGUUUAUUUAUAAUCGUCACUGGGCUAUCAUUAGCCUAAUAAACUCUCCUUUA
rnacentral:lncRNA from 1 species